rnacentral:rRNA from 1 species
CCACCUCUUCCCAUUCCGAACAGAGUAGUUAAGCCCGCCAGAGCCGAUGGUAUUGCCGUAACAGGUGGGAGAGUAGGUCGGUGCCUAAU